ACUCACAGAGAUCGCCUGCCUCUGCCUCCCGAGUGCUGGAAUUAAGGGCGUGCGCCACCACCGCCCGGCCAGUGUUCUUCUCUUAAGAUUUGAUUUGCUAUUCACAGGCAUCAGUGAUGGUUUUCCCUAAUUAGUUUGGAAUUCCUUAUAUUUGUUGUAAAGCUGUCAUAAUGAGUAGUAGAGUUAGGCAUGAGGGUCAUCGUUAUAACUCUAGCAGUCACAAAGCUGAGGCAGGAGGAUCACAAGUUAGAGUUCAGCCUGAGCUACAUAGUGAAAUCUUGUCCCUACAAACUUCUUUUAAAGAAAAAAAAAACAUGAAACAGUAGGAUUAGGGGGUAUGCCAGGUGUCUGGUCUGCUUUGCCAUGACCCCACUUACUGGUUAGCAUAACAUUCCUGUAAGCAUCCUCCGCCACCAACAGUCCUCAGUAGGUUUCACCUGGAGAUUUUUAUUCUACUUGGUGUUACAUACUAUUCACCAUAUAAUUAAAACACUACAUUUAGUUCUGAGAAUGGGAAAGAAUUCCUGUCCAGUUGGUGGCGGUAGUGUGAAGUACAGGCAGGUUCAAGUUGAGAGGCUUUGACAAAUAGGACUUUUCUAAUGUCUAAAUACUUCUGCCCCUGGUUUUACUAGACGAGAAAGUAUUUUCAUAAGCUUCUAGGUGGGGGAUCAAGUGGCUAUAAACUGUAAUAUGCAGGUUUAUGUGGACGUGUUUUCAGCUUGGGGUGAGUACUGGGGAGGUGCUAGCUGGGUUGUAUGCUGGAAGGGUCUUAAAGAAACCCUACUUCCCUGGUGUGGCCCCACCCUCAUGAAUGGGUCAUGCAGCUCUGUGCCCUCAGUGUUUGGUAGUGUUAUUCUGGGUUUUAACUUUUCUAAUAGCGUAUAUGUUUUUGUUUGAAUUUCGGUUCAAUGAUGACAUUAAACAUCUUUUUAUAUACGUACCACCAUCUGUAGACCAUCUCUGGAAGUCUGUCUAGGUCUUUUGACAUACUUACCACCAUCUGUAAACUGUCUCUAUGGAAGUCUGUCUAGGUCUUUUGCACAAUUUUUAAAAUUUAUUUUUACUGGGUAUUAGAUAUGAAGAUUUCAGUCUAAAGUCUUGAUAUGAAAAGAAUAAUGGUUUUUUGUUUUUCAAGAAAAUAGCAGUAAAGGGUAUACACUGGGCAGCCUAUUUCCCAUUUAUAUACCAGCCAGUUAGUUCUCAGGCUUCCCCAUUACCAACUUCCUAGGCAUACUGAUUUUUAUUAUAUCUAUAAGCAAAUACUAGACACAUGAUUUCUUUUUAAAUUACAAAUUUAAAAAGUAUACAUAGUACUCUGAUCCACCCCCCCACACACACACACUUAUCCAACCUAAAGAUGAGUUUGUGUGCAGGUGUGCAUAUAAAAUCCACGUACUACGGUGUGUGUAGGUCAGAGGACAACUUUCAGGGGUCUUCCUAGAGUGGGACCAGGUGUCGGACUCAGGUUAUCAGGCAGCAGACUGACAACUCAGCUUUUACCUGCUGAGCUAUCUUACCAGCUUGACUAUAUCUGUAUUUAAAAAAAAAUCUUUCUCCAGGUUGUAUAGUGUAUGUGUAUGUGAUGUAACGGGUCCUGUACUGACGAUCAUGUUUAAAUUGCGUCUAGUGUUUUGCUGUUAAAAUGCUGAAAUGAA